rnacentral:tRNA from 1 species
GCCUGGGUGGCUCAGUCGGUUAAGCGUCCGACUUCGGCUCAGGUCAUGAUCUCGUGGUCUGUGGGUUCGAGCCCCACGUCAGGCU